rnacentral:lncRNA from 1 species
CCCAGCGGCAGUAUGUAUCCCAGGGAGCUGAAGGUGCUGUACUUCCUCCCCAGCGGCAGUGUGUCCUGCAGGAAGCGGAGACAGUCGGUCUCGCUCCCCAGCAGCAGGGCAAUAUAUUAAAAGGGGAGACAGUUGGUCCCCCUCUCCAACAGCAGAGAGUGUUCCAGGGAGAGGAACCGGUUAUCACCUCUCCCCAGCAACAGGACAAAUUAUUGAAAGGGGAGACAGUCGGUCUCCCCCUCCAACAGCAGAGAGAGUGUCAGGGAGAGGAGCUUGUUAUCCCCUCUCCCCAACGGCAGUGUGUAC